AUACAGCUGACGAGUUCCAAACAGAACGGGACGCGCAUCCUGGAU
rfam:Schistosoma rodhaini strain Burundi genome assembly, scaffold: SROB_scaffold0005212